rnacentral:rRNA from 1 species
AUGAGGCCCUUCCUGCUCACGCCGGUGGGCGCCCAGCUCGCGUCGCUCCCCUCGCCGUCAACGCUCUCGCGACUGCUCCGCCCGCUCCACCUACAAAACCGCCAUGCUCACGCCAUCCCCGCCCCCACCUCCUCCUCCUCCUCGUCGCCCCUCCUCCACCCUCCCCGCCGCAGCACUAGCCGCCGCGGCGAUCGCUUCCUCGCCUCCUCCUCGCCCUCUCAGAUGGCCGCGCCUGCUGAUGCCCCCGGAGGAUCCGCGGACGCGUUCGAGGUGAUCCGCGCUCACCAGGUAAAAGCUGCCCGGCUUCCUCCUGUUGAAGAAAUACGAACUAUUCUGGACCAAAGUGUCCGAGGUGUUCUGGCUACCCAUUCUCAGGAACAUGUGGGUUAUCCAUCUGGUUCAAUGGUUGAUUUUGCGUGCGAUCAAGAUGGUUCCCCCAUAUUAGCAGUGAGUAGUUUAGCAGUUCACUCAAAGAAUCUCGCAGGAAGUACUAAAUGCUCACUUUUGGUUGCCAAAGACCCAGAGGACAGAACAGAUACUGUAAUCACUGUAUAUGGCGAUGCUACACCUGUUCCCGAUGAAGAAAAAGAUGCAGUGAAAACUGCAUAUUUACGGAGACACCCUGAGGCCUUUUGGGUUGACUUUGGUGACUUCCGCUUUCUGCACAUCAAACCAAAAGCUGUACGUUAUGUAUCUGGGGUUGCAACAGCUAUCCUUGGCUCUGGAGAAUUUAGUGCUGCUGAGUUCAAGGAAGCAAAAGUGGAUCCUAUAUCUCAGUUCUCCGCUCCUAUUGCAGGUCACAUGAACAAGGAUCAUGCUGAUGAUACAAAGCUCAUUGUGCAACACUCAACGUCUGUUAAGGUGGAUUUUGCUUCUAUUCUGGAUGUGGAUAGCCUCGGUAUCAAUGUGAAGGCUGGUUAUGAUGGAACUGUUCUGAAGCUGCGAAUUCCCUUCCCUAGACGUGCGCAAGACAGAAAGGAUGUUAAGACACUUAUUGUGGAAAUGCUACAGGCUGCAAAGGCCUCAUCCUGA